rnacentral:rRNA from 1 species
GGAAUAUUGGUCAAUGGAGGCAACUCUGAACCAGCCAUGCCGCGUGCAGGAAGACAGCCCUCUGGGUCGUAAACUGCUUUUAUUCGGGAAUAAACCUCACUACGUGUAGUGAGCUGAAUGUACCGAAGGAAUAAGGAUCGGCUAACUCCGUGCCAGCAGCCGCGGUAAUACGGAGGAUCCAAGCGUUAUCCGGAUUUAUUGGGUUUAAAGGGUGCGUAGGCGGCUUAUUAAGUCAGGGGUGAAAGACGGUGGCUCAACCAUCGCAGUGCCCUUGAUACUGAUGAGCUUGAAUACACUAGAGGUAGGCGGAAUGUGACAAGUAGCGGUGAAAUGCAUAGAUAUGUCACAGAACACCGAUUGCGAAGGCAGCUUACUAUGGUGUGAUUGACGCUGAGGCACGAAAGCGUGGGGAUCAAACAGGAUUAGAUACCCGAG